rnacentral:rRNA from 1 species
CCUACGGGUGGCUGCAGUGGGGAAUAUUGGACAAUGGGCGCAAGCCUGAUCCAGCCAUGCCGCGUGAGUGGUGAAGGCCUUAGGGUUGUAAAGCUCUUUCACCCACGACGAUAAUGACGGUAGUGGGAGAAGAAGCCCCGGCUAACUUCGUGCCAGCAGCCGCGGUAAUACGACGGGGGCUAGCGUUGUUCGGAUUUACUGGGCGUAAAGCGUACGUAGGCGGACCGUUAAGUCGGAGGUGAAAUCCUGGGGAUAAACCCCAGAACUGCCUUCGAUACUGGCGGUCUCGAGUCCGGAAGAGGUGAGUGGAACUGCCAGUGUAGAGGUGAAAUUCGUAGAUAUUGGCAAGAACACCAGUGGCGAAGGCGGCUCACUGGUCCGGUACUGACGCUGAGGUACGAAAGCGUGGGGAGCAAACAGGAUUAGAUACCCGAGUAGUC